GGGGAAAGGAAAGGAAGGCGAGGGCAGAGUCCGGCUGUUGCCGCUUUUUGCCGGAGGAGAGGCGAUGCAGGUGCGAGACCGGAGCCGCAGGUGGCCCGGGUCAUCGCCCAUGUAGACAUGGAUUGCUUCUAAGUCCAAGUCGACCAGCGGAGGAACCCAGCGCUCAGGGGCCGGCCCACCGCCGUCAUGCAGUACAACGACUGCAAAGGAGGAGGCUUGAUCGCAAGUUUGGUGUGAAGAGGUCCAUGCGUGGAGAUGAGGCCAAGAAGGUAUGCCCGGGUAUCAAUCUGCUUCAGGUCCCUGUGGCGCUUGGGAAGGCCAAUCUUA